UACGUAGGGUGCAAGCGUUGUCCGGAAUUAUUGGCGUAAGAGCUCGUAGGCGGUUUGUCGCGUCUGCCUGUGAAAUCUGGGGGCUCAACCCCCAGCCUGCAGUGGGUACGGGCAGACUAGAGUGGCGGUAGGGGAGGAUUGGAAUUGCCUGGUGUAGCGGUGGAAUGCGCAGAUAUCAGGAGGACACCGAUGGCGGAAGGCAGGUCUCUGGGCCACUAC
rnacentral:rRNA from 1 species